rnacentral:misc_RNA from 1 species
UUUCCGUAGGUGAACCUGCGGAAGGAUCAUUAUUGAAUAAACCUGAUGUGACUGUUAGCUGGCUUUUCGAAGCAUGUGCUCGUCCGUCAUCUUUAAUCUCUCCACCUGUGCACAUUUUGUAGUCUUGGAUACCUCUCGAGGCAACUCGGAUUUUAGGAUCGCCGUGCUGCACAAGUCGGCUUUCCUUUCAUUUCCAAGACUAUGUUUUUAUAUACACCAAAGUAUGUUUAAAGAAUGUCAUCAGUAGGAACUUGUUUCCUAUAAAAUUAUACAACUUUCAGCAACGGAUCUCUUGGCUCUC